GACGAACGCUGGCGGCGUGCUUAACACAUGCAAGUCGAACGGAAAGGCCCUGCUUUUGUGGGGUGCUCGAGUGGCGAACGGGUGAGUAACACGUGAGUAACCUGCCCUUGACUUUGGGAUAACUUCAGGAAACUGGGGCUAAUACCGGAUAGGAGCUCCUGUUGCAUGGUGGGGGUUGGAAAGUUUCGGCGGUUGGGGAUGGACUCGCGGCUUAUCAGCUUGUUGGUGGGGUAGUGGCAUACCAAGGCUUUGACGGGUAGCCGGCCUGAGAGGGUGACCGGCCACAUUGGGACUGAGAUACGGCCCAGACUCCUACGGGAGGCAGCAGUGGGGAAUAUUGCACAAUGGGCGGAAGCCUGAUGCAGCAACGCCGCGUGCGGGAUGACGGCCUUCGGGUUGUAAACCGCUUUCGCCUGUGACGAAGCGUGAGUGACGGUAAUGGGUAAAGAAGCACCGGCUAACUACGUG
rnacentral:rRNA from 1 species